ensembl:lncRNA
AAUCUGACUGCGUGGUCCUUGAAUGGCUCCCUCCUGGUCCACACCUGCACGGGCAGCCUGGCAGCUCUGGUAUCUGCUGGGGACAUGUUCGCCCAGGCCCAUGUCCACACGGCCUGCGGCCACCGCCACACCCAUCUGGAUGCCAGCCUCCAGCACACGUGGCCGCCACUUCAGGCUUUGGGGGUUGCCCCCAACAACCACAUCCAGGUGUCUGUGGGGGGACACGAACCCCCCAGGGCCGAGCUGGACGUGGCCCUGGGCCAGUGCACGCUGACCGCUCAUGGGGACGUCGGUACUGAGGCCAACACCACUCAUGCCAACUGGACCUUGUCCCUGGUGAAUCGCUGUCCUCUGCUGGAGGGCCUGGGCCUCCCAGCAGGGACCGAGCUCAGCGGCUCCCUGCAGGCCGCAGGCGGGGAAGCAGAGAUGUCCGGGACCCUCGCAUCGGCCGGCCAGACCGCCUCCCUGACCUUGGCGGGGGCCGUGCACCAGUCUGAGGCCACCCUCCGAGUGAAGCUGAGUCACACACUGCCCACGCUGCGGGCCUUACCCCCAGAGGCCUUGCUGGCCGUCCAGCUUGGCUGGGAGGCCGGGCGCCGGCUGGGUCUGGAGCUGCAGGCAGGGGCCUGCGAGCUGCAGGGUCGCGGCGAGCUGCGCCUGGACCGCGGGCUGGAGUGGUCGGUGCUGGCCGAGAGCUCCUGCGAGGCCCUGCAGGCCCUGGGGGUCCUGGGCCGAGUCAACAGCUCCGGGGCUGUCGUGCUGAACUCGGAGGCCGUGGACGCCCGGGCGCUGGUCUCCGUGAACCACACCACGCUGAGGGGGCUGUUGGUCCUCAGGACUACCGAGAGCCAGCGGGAGGUCGAUAUAUUGCUCGUGCACGACCUGCCUCAGCCCAGCUCCUUGGGCCUCCCAGCCCGGGUCCUGCUGCAGCUGGCCGCCCAGAGCCAUGGGCCCGGCUAUAGACGUGCCCUGCGGGUCGGAGUGGACGGCAGACAGGUAUGGGGCUCUGCGGGGGGGGGGGCCUCGGGAGCUAGGGGUUCGUGGGGGUUGUGGGGACAGCCCAGCCCCACGGCCCAGGUCUCACAGUCGUCCAUGCUGACAGGUGUCCGAGGAGCUGACGUUCACUCGGCAGCCAGAGCUCCUGUCCCUGAACUACACACUCGAGCACAACGUCCCCCUGCUGCGGACACUGUGGAUAGAGGACAAGCUGGGUCUGCAGGUCAGCCUCGGCGAGCGCCGGUGGUAAUGGAAAUCCAUGCAUUCGUUCAUGCAUUCAUUCAACAACCAUUCUUGGAAAUAUGGUGGAGACAAGGGGCUGGUGGAAUAAGGUUCAGGCUUCCCUCUGAGCCUCAGUCUCUUCAUCUGGAAAUUGGGGAUAGCGCUCCUUUCCCUAGCCCAGCCACAUGCCCCUGGGACCAUUACACAUUCUUCCUUUUCCAAAGCCUCCCUGCGGACUCCGUGCUUGUCCUUGACCCCCAGUUCACCUUCUCCACACGCUCUCCUUGGGCGGGCUGGGCCCAUGUCUCACUUUGGUGCGAUCCGUGCACUGAAGCUCCCCACUUUCUCCCUCUCCUGGGCCCCAGACCCGCAGGUCCGUCUGUUUGUAUAUCUCCACUUGGAGGCCUGCUGGGCACCUGGCUGGUCCAACCCCACCACCUGCCCCUCCCGUUGCCUCAUGUCCGUGUCACCUCAGCCCCCCAGCAGCACAGGCCAAACCCUCAGUGUCAUCCUUCAUCCCUGUUUCACUCACACGCCAGACCCGCCUUCAGCAGAUGCUGA